GGCUCAGAAAACGCCAAAUUGCAAAUUUGGAGAAGAGCUUCGGCUCCUGGGCCU
rnacentral:tRNA from 1 species